CGACGGCAGCACGGGAGCAAUCCUGGUGGCGAGUGGCGAACGGGUGAGUAAUGUAUCGGAACGUACCUUUCAGUGGGGGAUAACGUAGCGAAAGUUACGCUAAUACCGCAUAUUCUGUGAGCAGGAAAGCAGGGGAUCACAAGACCUUGCGCUGAUUGAGCGGCCGAUAUCAGAUUAGCUAGUUGGUGAGGUAAAGGCUCACCAAGGCGACGAUCUGUAGCGGGUCUGAGAGGAUGAUCCGCCACACUGGAACUGAGACACGGUCCAGACUCCUACGGGAGGCAGCAGUGGGGAAUUUUGGACAAUGGGGGCAACCCUGAUCCAGCCAUGCCGCGUGAGUGAAGAAGGCCUUCGGGUUGUAAAGCUCUUUCAGCCGGGAAGAAAUCACAUGGGUUAAUACCCUGUGUGGAUGACGGUACCGGAAUAAGAAGCACCGGCUAACUACGUGCCAGCAGCCGCGGUAAUACGUAGGGUGCGAGCGUUAAUCGGAAUUACUGGGCGUAAAGCGUGCGCAGGCGGUUUGUUAAGAUAGGCGUGAAAUCCCCGGGCUCAACCUGGGAACUGCGUUUAUGACUGGCAGGCUAGAGUAUGGCAGAGGGGGGUGGAAUUCCACGUGUAGCAGUGAAAUGCGUAGAGAUGUGGAGGAACACCGAUGGCGAAGGCAGCCCCCUGGGCCAAUACUGACGCUCAUGCA
rnacentral:rRNA from 1 species